rnacentral:lncRNA from 1 species
CGGGGCGCGCCCUGCCCGGCGCCCGGCGGCCCCCACGUCCCGCCCCGGGAAGUGGGUUACUCGUCAGCUCACCGUGGUAAGUCCGGAGGCUGCAAAAGUCCUGGUAAAAACCGAGCCACAUCCCUUUAAAAAAGAAAAGUGGGACUGGGGAUGUGGCUCAAGCGGUAACGCGCUCCCGUGGCCUGCGCGGGGCGCUGGGUUCGAUCCUGAGCACCACAUAAAAUGAAGAUGUUGUGCCCACCCAAAACUGAAAAAUAAACAUUAAAUAAUAUUCUCUCUCUCUCUCCCUCUCUCUCUCUCUCUCUCUCUCUCUCUCUCUCUCUCUCUCUCAAAAAAAAAAAAAAGAAAAGAAAAGAAAAGAGAAAAAAGAAGAGUGUGUGUGAGGGGCAAGCCUGUAGUCCCAGUCACUCCGGAAUGACUCCAGAGGAGCAGGAGUUGGAGCCUGGGCAAUACUGCAAGACCCGGCCUGGGGCGGGGACCCCUCUCGGAUGAGGAAAAGCGAGAACGGCCUUACAGGCAGCAGACGUUGUGCUGGACCUCGUCGGUCUUCUCCGUGGAGAGCAGGUAGCUUCACUCAUCUACCCCAGUUCCCUCGCAAGUCCACCCUCCACCCAGGGAGGCUGGGGUUGUUCAGUGCAGCAGCAGUGGGAGCAGCCUCUGCCGCAGAGGCUGGAGUUACUACUGCUUUCCGGUAGUUUGUAGACAGAAGCAGGGUUGCUCCAGCUCACAGUCCUGCCCCCCAGCUCAGGGAUGAGCUUUAUCCCUGCCGGGAGGAACUGAGACCGAGGAGGGCAGCUGUGGGGCAUGGUGCCCCUGGUUCUGGUCUCUGUGGAAAGACUCUGGAAAUGGCCACUUUGCUCAAAGAGGGCACCAUGAUGAUAGAGCCUAUAACUGGGGGCUCGCAAGUGGGAACUCCAGACCACCUCUUUUAACCCUAUCCAAGCCUGGAGGUGGGUGGUCUACAGGUGGGGUGGCCCAUCAACUUCACAAAGAUCACAUCACCAAUAAGGAGUGAAGCAAGAUUGCAACCCCGCUCUGGGUGACUUGGUGCCUGGUGCUCAUCCUCUCCAGACCUGUUCAUACUGGAGGGGAAUUCACUGAGCUGGGAUUCUUAGGCUGCUGGUCUGAUGGUCUGAUUGUCCCUCCCUGGCCCCUGUCCUGAAGACUCUUUUCCACCUGGCCCUUCUCCCUGCUUCUCUCCUGCCUGCCCUUGUGGUCUUCUGGCAAGCCCAGGACUGGGCCACAACCAAGGAGAAUGAACAGAGAGGCCUUCAGGGGGCACCUUUUCCUGCUCAGCCACCCCACCAGCUGCUCCUUCAGGUCUCCUGCUUCUGGACCCUGUAGUGCUCUGACUGUGCCCUGGACCCUUUUACCCCUCUGUCCUUGCUCACUCCUUUUCUGGAUGCCUUCAGGCAGGUGACUCUGAGAAACAACUCUGUCAAUGGCUCCCCAGUGCUGCCUCACUCACUCCUCAUGACUCGGAGGCUGACAUCCGGCGCUCUUCUUGACAUCACCCCUGGGAUGUCUGAUCAGCCAUUCACACUCAACAUGUCCAAGUGGGCACUCAGCCUCUUCAAAGCUGUACCACCCUGAAUGGCAGCUGCACCUGUCCCCAACCCCUUUCCUCCCAAGUCCACUCUCAGCUCAGCAGCCACAGCCAUCCUGGGAGAAAGAAGCCUGUUGCAGACUCCACCUCAGGGCUCCCUCGCCAGUCUCUCUCCUUGGUUCCCAACAGGCCAGGCCGCACCCUCAGCCCUUGCUCCCCAGUCUCCUCCACGGCUUCCUCCUGCACUGGUUGUGGUGAUCCUUCCCUCAUGCUCAGCUUGAGCACUGUCUGGUGCCCCCCAUCUUGUAUGUUUUCACUUAUUGUCUGUCCUCCCACUACCACCAGAAGCUAGGAGCUGCAGGCGAGCUAUCUGUUGUCUUCCUUCACUGGUCCUGGGCCCUGGACACAGACCACUAGUUUCAUGGACUGAAGAAGGGUUGAAUGCCCAGGCAAGGCCAGGGCUGAGAGGAAGACCGUGCGCUUAGCACAUGUCAGUACCAACUGUCGACCUGAGCCUGCACUUGUGCAAGUAGUGAGUCCUGGUCCAGCUCCAAGGAGAGCCAGAUAACCCCAUACUUGACUCACAAUUUAAGGUCGUGCUCUCUCUAACUGGUAUAUGUCAUGACCAUAUCUCCACUCAUUCAACAAUGCAUUUAUUACUGGGCUGGGGAUGUGGCUCAAGCGGUAGCACGCUCGCCUGGCAUGCGUGCGGCCCGGGUUCAAUCCUCAGCACCACAUACAAACAAAGAUGUUGUGUCUGCCGAGAACUAAAAUAAAUAAAUAAAUAUUUUUUUAAAAAACAAUGCAUUUAUUGAGCACCAACUGUGUACCAUGUUCUGACUGAGCACCAAAAUAUGGUGCUGAGAAGACAGACAAGAUCCCAGCACCCAGGAGGGCAGACAGACACUAAGCAAAGAAGCAAACUAAUCAGGGAUGUGUUGAGACUCUUUCAUGUUGUGCAGGGAGCAGUUGUUGACUCUUUUUAUUGCUAUUGAUAAACAUCUGGGCUGUUGCCACUGUUUGAUAUUACAAAUAAAACUGCUAGAACAUUUGUGUGCAAGUCUUUGUGUGGACAUACGC